rnacentral:rRNA from 1 species
UACGUAGGCAGCAAGCGUUGUUCGGAUUUACUGGGCGUAAAGGGUGUGUAGGCGGUUGCUUAAGUUUGGUGUGAAAUCUCCCGGCUUAACCGGGUGGGUGCGCCGAAUACUGAGUGACUAGAGUGCGGGAGAGGAGAGUGGAAUUCCUGGUGUAGCGGUGAAAUGCGUAGAUAUCAGGAGGAACACCGGUGGUGUAGACGGCUCUCUGGACCGUAACUGACGCUGAGACACGAAAGCGUGGGUAGCAAACAGG